UUGCUUUGAUGACAAUCUUAGGACACCUUUGGAAUUGAACAUGAAAACACCACUGAGUCUGAGUAAC